rnacentral:rRNA from 1 species
UUACGUGGGACGUAAAGCGUGCGCAGGUCGGUUUUAGUAAGACGAGGCGUAGAAACGUCCCCGGGCUACCAACCGUAGGGAACUGUCGUUUGUGACUGACGAAGGCUAGAGGUACGGCAGGAGGGGGGUGGAAUUCCACGUGUAGCAGUGAAAUGCGUAGAGAUGUGGAGGAACACCAAUGGCGAAGGCAGCCCCCUGGGUCGAUACUGACGCUCAUGCACGAAAGCGUGGGUAGCAAACAGGAUUAGAUACCCUGGUAGUCCACGCCCUAAACGAUGUCAACUAGGUGUUGGGUGGGUAAAACCAUUUAGUACCGGAGCUAACGCGUGAAGUUGACCGCCUGGGGAGUACGGCCGCAAGGUUAAAACUCAAAGGAAUUGACGGGGACCCGCACAAGCGGUGGAUGAUGUGG